UACGUAGGGGGCAAGCGUUGUCCGGAUUUAUUGGGCGUAAAGAGCGUGUAGGCGGCCAUACAGGUCCGUUGUGAAAACUCGAGGCUUAACCUCGAGACGUCGAUGGAAACCGUAUGGCUAGAGUCCGGAAGAGGAGAGUGGAAUUCCUGGUGUAGCGGUGAAAUGCGCAGAUAUCAGGAGGAACACCGGUGGCGAAGGCGGGUCUCUGGGCAGUAACUGACGCUGAGGAGCGAAAGCGCGGGGAGCGAACAGG
rnacentral:rRNA from 1 species